GAUCAUGGCUCAGGACGAACGCUGGCGGCGUGCUUAACACAUGCAAGUCGAACGAAGAGCGAUGGAAGCUUGCUUCUAUCAAUCUUAGUGGCGAACGGGUGAGUAACGCGUAAUCAACCUGCCCUUCAGAGGGGGGACAACAGUUGGAAACGACUGCUAAUACCGCAUACGAUCCAAUCUCGGCAUCGAGACUGGAUGAAAGGUGGCCUCUAUUUAUAAGCUAUC
rnacentral:rRNA from 1 species